AAUUGUUGUCAUGACAUUUAGAUGGCAUUCUUUGUGAGAACACUUUUCCAGCUUUGUGACGUAGGGUAACCUGAAAGUUCUAUAAAGCAAGGUGACUGCAUUUAUUCAUUCACUUGUAAGGUGUUACUCCAGUGCAUGCAUUUUAGUAUAGCUCCUUUCAAUACACGAUGGCGAGUACUUCAGGAAGAUUUAACUCGGGACCUCGAGACCUUGGGGAGAUUGUGCGUCAAUAUUUUGACGAACUCCUUGAUGUGGACAUCUGUGCAGUCAGUAUCCUACCUUUCACCGAGCAGUUUUCUGCUGAGUAAGUCACCUUUAGAUGUUCAACCCCAUCAUGGAAUUGCUUGGUAACCCACUGAUAACUAUCUAUGUCACCAUCAGUGUCCAUGAACAAGUGUUUUAAGCUUAUACUCUCUUUGUAUUUCAGGGAAUUGCAGAUGAUCAGGGCUGCUUUCCUUAUCGCGUUCUCUGAUGAGGAGCUGGACUGGGCCAUAAGAAAAAUUAUAAGAUGCGUAGGAUUCCUCACCCUGGACUUUUUGAUGCCUGCCUUGCGGGUGUGCAAACGGAUGGAGCCAAGUGCCACCCAGGGGGAAUCUGCUGCUCUAAGCCGCCUCCCUAUACUGCUGGUGCAGGCUGCACCUGGCUGUGAGGAGUUCCCCAAAGGUCCCCAAAGAGAAAGAGCCGGCAUCGAUGAAAUGGCCCACACAAUUGGUGAUAUGGAGAGCCCCAUGCCAGCUAGACAGUAACAUGCUGACUUCAGCUCUCUUUACUACAAACGAUUACCAAAAAGCAGGCAGACCCAGGCUAAACAAUUCAAGUUUGUUGUUGCCAAGGCCCUGGAAAUCCCAACAUUGCUCCUGGAGACGUUGACUCCCGGGUAUGCUGUCUGGAGGAGAGGGUUCUAUGCGGGCUGUCAGGACAUCUCCGAGUUCCUAGAAAAAUAUAGAAAUCAAACUCAAACGAAAGAAGCCUUCAUUGACCUGAUUCACAUUACAUCAAUGCUACUGAUCGACUUGAGGAGGUUUAUUUCACACGGGCAAUCCACCAGGGCAGAGGGAAGUGUCACCCAGGAGGACAACUACUUUCAAUUUGAGGACUUCAUUAGAUUUAUUAUGGAUCACUUUGUCCUUGAGGCAUCCAGAAACCUACUUGAGAGACUCGUAAAUGCUCCAAGUCGCUUACGGUUGCUGCAUGCAUCCAGAAUGAGGACACAAGCAUUAGAGAUGCCCUUCCUUCCACAGGUGUUUGUGCUAGAGAGAGGGCCAGUCAUAAAGCUGCUCACCACAGCCAUCUCCAAAAACGUGGCUAACUUACUUCAUGACGCCGUGGACAUAAUGGCCAGAAAGAGAGCCUUGUUAGAGUCUGACACAGACACUGAGGCCGUCUCAGUCUCAGAGUACUCCAUCUCAGAGUCAGACACCUCAGUGUCCACUUCCCGCCUGCCUGAGGACAACCUCCGGUCCCAGGACUGUGGUGGACACAGUGGGACUCUGUGCCCUGGACAAGGGGGCAGUGUUCUGGCAAAGAGAGGAGUCACUGAAACCCUGAUCAGCUCCAGCAGCAGCAGCAGAAACAGUAGCUGCAGCAGUAUCACUAGUGAGAUGAGUAGGCCUCACAGUACCUCCACCUGCUCUGUGAAAGAUCUUCCUACUGAGAGACCACAUGUGUCCUCCUCCAGCCUUUCCACCAGGCCAGAGGAGGCUGUUGCAACUCUAGCCAUGAGCUCCCACGAGGACUCAGCAAAUAUGAAGUCCUCAAGAGGAGAGGAUAAACAGCGGAGAAAAAGGAUCUUUACAAUCCACUGGAAAUCUAAAAGAUCUAUAGCUCCAUCGCCAGUGGUGGAGAAGCCUGUUACCCAUUCCCCAGAGAGGACCAGGAGGCCAUCGCUGUCAUCACGCUUAGCCUCUGGCAUCUGCAGACUCUUUUGCUGCUGUGGUAAAGGUCAGGAUUGACCUCUUGUGGCAGGAAGAGGAGUUGAACCUCCUUUAAUUUCAAUGUUUUGCUUUGGGCCUGAAGAUUCAAGGUCCACGAUCCCAGUUGCUUUGGGCCCAGGCAGGGGCUUGUGAAAGUACUGAUCUGACCACUUUCAAAGUACCUUCCCUUUGGGCUGAGGGUGCGAUCAUAACGGACUGCACAAGGGCAGGAGCCACGUGCGCCAGUAUUGUUAUGAUGUUGCUCUGAAU
ensembl:lncRNA